GGAAGUAUAGCUCAGUGGUGGAGCGUGUGCUCAGCAUGCACACGGCCCUAGGUUCUAACCCUAGCACCA
rnacentral:tRNA from 1 species